CCCUCCCAACACAGCUUUCUUUUAAUCAGUGGGGAACUCUGCCCGCCGGAGACAGAGGCCAAGAGGAGACAGAGGCCAAGAAAGCCUCGGAGAAACACAACCCUCCUUCCAACACCCGCCUCCUCUCUUUCCCCUCCCACCCUUGGCAAAGCCCAGCAGGACAGACAGAGACACAAGACAGACACGCGCUUGCUGAUCUCUGCCUCGGCAAGAAAGACCAGGACCCUUCUGAGAGAAGAGCGAUGGUGAUCUUGGGGAGUCCUGGGCUGCCAAGAGCUGAACUACACGUUCUCUCUGGAUCUGUUUUCUGUGAAAGCCAGAGAAAGGACUCAGGACAUGCCCAGGAGUGAGCCAGUGCCCGGAACAGCCCAAGCCCCUCCAGCAGAGAUGGACCAAAGCAAAGAGCAGGAAGUCUCUGCCAAGGCCUCUCCCUCCCCCAC